UUCUGUAAGAGUGAUUGCCAUUUAUUUAAUGUAUGAAUGAAAGACUUAAGAAUACAUCUGACCCAGGCAGCCUGGGUUCAACUCUCCAUGUGAGAAUACCAAGCUUGGCUGGGCACAGUGCCUCACAUCUGUAAUCCCAACACUUUGAGAGGCUGCGGCAGGAAGAUUACUUGAAGCCAAGAGCUGGCGAACAACCUGGGCAACAAAGUGAGACUUCAU
rnacentral:lncRNA from 1 species